CAGCCGCCGCGGUAACACCAGCCCCUCGAGUGGUGGGGAUGAUUAUUGGGCCUAAAGCGUCCGUAGCCUGCCGUGUAAGUUUCCCGUUAAAUCCAGCGUCUCAAGCGUUGGACCGCGGGAAAUACUGUACGGCUAGAGAGUGGGAGAGGUCAGCGGUAUUCUGGGGGUAGGGGCGAAAUCCUUUGAUCCCCGGAGGACCACCAGUGGCGAAGGCUGCUGACUAGAACACGUCUGACGGUCAGGGACGAAAGCUGGGGUAGCGAACCGGAUUAGAUACCCGGGUAGUCCCAGCCGUAAACGAUGCAUGCUAGGUGUUGGGUUGGCCACGAGCCACCCCAGUGCCGCAGGGAAGCCGUUAAGCAUGCCGCCUGGGAAGUACGAUCGCAAGGUUGAAACUUAAAGGAAUUGGCGGGGGAGCAC
rnacentral:rRNA from 2 species